UUAUUGGAGAGUUUGAUCCUGGCUCAGGACGAACGCUGGCGGCGUGCCUAAUACAUGCAAGUCGAGCGGAUCUUCAUUAGCUUGCUUUUGAAGAUCAGCGGCGGACGGGUGAGUAACACGUGGGCAACCUGCCUGUAAGACUGGGAUAACUUCGGGAAACCGGAGCUAAUACCGGAUAAUCCAUUCCCUCACAUGAGGGAAU
rnacentral:ncRNA from 1 species